rnacentral:rRNA from 1 species
CUACACAUGCAAGUCGAACGGUAACAGGUCUUCGGACGCUGACGAGUGGCGAACGGGUGAGUAUACAUCGGAACGUGCCCAGUCGUGGGGGAUAACUACUCGAAAGAGUAGCUAAUACCGCAUACGAUCUGAGGAUGAAAGCGGGGGACCUUCGGGCCUCGCGCGAUUGGAGCGGCCGAUGGCAGAUUAGGUAGUUGGUGGGAUAAAAGCUUACCAAGCCGACGAUCUGUAGCUGGUCUGAGAGGACGACCAGCCACACUGGGACUGAGACACGGCCCAGACUCCUACGGGAGGCAGCAGUGGGGAAUUUUGGACAAUGGGCGAAAGCCUGAUCCAGCAAUGCCGCGUGCAGGAUGAAGGCCUUCGGGUUGUAAACUGCUUUUGUACGGAACGAAAAAGCUUCUCCUAAUACGAGAGGCCCAUGCGGUACCGUAAGAUAAGU